AUGCUUUUUGUAUAACAAGCUGCCAUGUUAGGCUAGGUCACUCCUCAAAGAUUUGUUAGGACCAUUAAGGUGUCCUCCUUGACUGACAAGAGCUCAUAACCCACCGCUGCUUCUUGUGUCGGAGUCGUUGUAAGUCAUGGCCGCUCUCAAGUUAGGCUGGUAUGUGAUCGAGGCUUGUCUCUGUUUUACAGCCUGGUGAUGUGAGUAACUGCGAACCACUUACAGAAAGUGAUGGAAAAUGGAUGCUAACCUUUCUGCAUGCUGACAGUUCAAGGUCCUCAUACCCUACCAGUUUAGACAUACUUGAAUAAGUUUAUAUUUGUCAUGAUCUUAUAGGUCUUUUCAUCUGAAGGCUUAGACUAUCUUAUAAUCAGUUGAGAAGCAACAAGAUAACAGCGACACAAGCAAUUUGUCUUUCCACACUCGAACGUGAAAAUUAUUUAUUUUUUGUAAACAAAUUUUAUUUUAUUUUUAGUGCAUGUUUCUUAAAGGUCCCGUUCUUCGUGAUCCCAUGUUUCAAACUU